rnacentral:rRNA from 1 species
UGAGCAACCUACCGAAAUGUGGGGGAUAGCCGGCCUAACGGCCGAGUAAUACCGCAUACGCUCUCGAUGAGGCAUUUCAUUGAGAGGAAACCUACGGGACAUUUCGAGGGGCUCGCGGCCUAUCAGCUAGUUGGCGAGGUAACGGCUCACCAAGGCGACGACGGGUAGCUGGUCUGAGAGGAUGGCCAGCCACAUUGGGACUGAGACACGGCCCAGACCUCCGUACGGGAGCAG